CCGUACAUGGUGGUUUCAUAUUUCUCCUCGUGGAACCAAAAAACCCACACUCUCCGCCGCAUUUCUAACAGUGCAUUUGAGACGACACGCGCGUUUUAUUGAAUUUGGAUAACUUCGCCAGCCACACGAGCAGGGGGAGGACAUUCGUUGUUUGGAUCAGUUCGCUUGGGACUACGCAGUUUCUAUUACGCGCCACAGUUGAACGGCAUUUGUCCAGCGCUACCGACUCAGAUCUCUGGUCCCGCCGAACAAAGGAACGGGGAGGCCGAUGCUCGCUUGUGAGCGCAAUUGGAACGACUAUUAUUUAUGAAAUAACUAGGUUUAACCCAUCCCGAAAUAUUUUGUUGUUAUAUUUUAACUUGAACCGUCUUUUCCUAAAGUAUAACGCACCGAGUAGCGUCAUCGGCUCCCGUUAGCCGUUAUUGUGGACAGCUAGAUUAGCUAGCAGAGUUGCUGACUUCUAACCGUAGCAUAGUUUUUGAGUCAAGCGAGAAGUUUUCUGUUUCGGGGCAAAAUGGCGGAAGUAUAUAUUCGAGUGGCGGAGGAGGAAAACGAGGAACCCAUGGAGAUACCGUCCGAGGACGACGGCACUAUUCUGCUUUCAACCGUGGCGGCUCAGUUUCCCGGGGCGUGUGGCCUACGCUUCAGGAGCCCCGUGUCUCAGUGCAUGCGAGGAGUGCGUCUUGUGGAAGGGAUCCUGCACGCGCCAGAAAACGGAUGGGCGAACGUGGUUUACGUGGUGAACUAUCCAAAAGUCCUCUGUGUUGAUCACAUUUCAGACAACAAAAGGAAAAUGGAAGAAAUCGAUGCUUCCUCUGUUGUGAAAAUGAAGAGGGGGGACAUGAAGACAUCUGAUCUGAUCGUACUGGGUCUUCCAUGGAAAACGAGUGAGCAGGACCUGAAGGACUACUUUGGCACAUUUGGAGAAGUCAUCAUGGUCCAGGUAAAACGAGAUGCCAAGACGGGAAACUCCAAAGGAUUUGGCUUUGUGAGAUUCACAGAGUAUGAGGCACAAGAAAAGGUGGUCACCCAGCGCCAUAUGAUUGACGGGAGAUGGUGUGACUGCAAGCUUCCUAACUCAAAGCAAGGUCCAGAUGAGCCUUUGAGGAGCCGGAAAGUGUUUGUAGGCCGUUGCACAGAAGACAUGACCACUGAAGACCUACGGCAGUUCUUUUUGCAGUAUGGGGAUGUCACAGAUGUCUUCAUCCCAAAGCCAUUCCGGGCUUUUGCCUUUGUCACAUUUGCAGAUGAUCAGGUUGCCCAGGCUCUUUGUGGAGAGGACCUUAUUGUCAAAGGUGUCAGUGUUCACAUCUCAAAUGCUGAGCCCAAACAUGGCAAUAGGCAGUUUGAUCGUACAACACGAUUUGGGAACGGUUUUGGAGCUCAAGCAUUUGGUAGCAGCCGUAGUGGGUUAGGGAGCAGCACUAACAGUAGUAUGGCUAAUUUUGGUAACUUCAGUCUGAACCCUGCUAUGAUGGCAGCUGCUCAGGCUGCCCUGCAGAGUAGUUGGGGGAUGAUGGGUAUGCUGGCUAGCCAGCAGCAGACAUCCACCUCAGGCAGCGCUUCCAGUGGAGCAAGUUCUAGUCGGGACCAGAGUCAGUCCUUCAGUGCAGGCAACAGCAACUACGGCGCCAACUCAGCCAGCCUUGGAUGGGGGACAGGGUCAAACUCAGCAACCAGCGGUAGUGGGUUUAGUUCAGGGUUUGGGUCCAGUAUGGAGUCAAAGUCAUCCGGGUGGGGUAUGUAAGUUAUAAUAUUUGUAUGGUAAGUAUUGUGACAAAGAUGAGUUUUUUCCCAAAUUAAUUUCUGGUGUUGAUGUGUAUCUGAAAACCUAACACUUUUGUGGACGAUGUUUUGUACAUUUGGAUAAACUGCGAAAGAUUUAAUUUAGAAAGUGUUGAAGUGAAUCGUUUACCAGGAUGUCUGACUAAAGUGCUAUUUUUGAUGUCACAUUUGUUUGUAUCCAUUUCAACUAGAUUCUCUCAUGCAUGUAUUGUGAUAUAUGACAACCAUUUUGAAAAAGCAUGAAUGUUUGUGGGUCACCAUUAUCCGGCUUUGUCAUCAACUUAAAAGGCAAUCUUGCAUUGGGAAGAAUCUGGUUGAAAUCUAAUUGUUUUUAAGUGCAACUUUAUUUACAGUCAAGUUCUGUGGAAACGCCUUCAUUGAAAUCUCUUCUGCAGUUCACCUCUCUUCCAUUUUCCUGCGAGGAAGCUCCUCUUUGGCAGCAUUCUCGGGGUGAUAUCGGUAUCAUUCUCCCUCUUCCCACCUGUCAAUGCAAUGUCAUCAAAGAACGGCUUCACUCCGCAUGUUCUCAGAGACGGGACCUUGGGCUCCGCUGGUCGAGGUCUCCGUUUGAACCCUGACUGAAGGAUGAAGACGGAAGUUCCAAAACUUUAGUGCGUGGCCUUCUCAGACAUGACAUGGGGUAGUACCUGUCUUUUUGCUGCUUGUUAAUAGCUUGUCUACGUUAACGAUCCUUUCUGAUGAUCCACAGCUACUUUUGAAGUUGAGGAACUUCAUGGGGGAUUCUUUGUAUGCAGCUGAGCUCAACAAUGUGUCUUCAGUUUGGCUCGAGUAACAACUACCGACACAUUGCUGAGCUUUGUAAUUGUUCAUUUUUGGAUGACCGUAUUCCCUAGUGCACCUUUAGAAUAUAUUGCAAACAAAUACCACAGUCCUGUCGUUUAUACAUUCAAGGAGUUUAACAUUCCUUUUUUUUAAAACAUUGUGGCAAAUGUGCAAUGAAUAUUGUGUUUUAAGUCAUUAAUGGUGCUGUACUGUACUACAUUAUGUUGGGAUGUUUCUAAUUUAUGGUUCUCCCUAUGAUACGAGGGGGGCAGAAUAUUAGAGACAACUGAAUAUACUGCAGACCAGUAGAACGGCGACACUGGAGGUCAACGGUUAAGGAAGUAUCAACAAAAAUAAAUUGGAAGUGUAAAAUGUGUA